rnacentral:rRNA from 1 species
ACGGGAGGCAGCAGUGGGGAAUAUUGCACAAUGGGGGAAACCCUGAUGCAGCGACGCCGCGUGAGUGAAGAAGUAUUUCGGUAUGUAAAGCUCUAUCAGCAGGGAAGAAAAUGACGGUACCUGACUAAGAAGCCCCGGCUAACUACGUGCCAGCAGCCGCGGUAAUACGUAGGGGGCAAGCGUUAUCCGGAUUUACUGGGUGUAAAGGGAGCGUAGACGGUCAUGCAAGUCUGAUGUGAAAGGUGGGGGCUCAACCCCCAAACUGCAUUGGAAACUGUAAGACUCGAGUGCCGGAGAGGUAAGCGGAAUUCCUAGUGUAGCGGUGAAAUGCGUAGAUAUUAGGAGGAACAUCAGUGGCGAAGGCGGCUUACUGGGCUUUAACUGACGCUGAGGCUCGAAAGCGUGGGGAGCAAACAGGAUUAGAUACCCUGGUA